GACGAACGCUGGCGGCGUGCUUAACACAUGCAAGUCGAGCGGUAAGGCCCUUUCGGGGGUACACGAGCGGCGAACGGGUGAGUAACACGUGGGUGACCUGCCCUUAGCUCUGGGAUAAGCCUGGGAAACUGGGUCUAAUACCGGAUAUGACUCCAUGACGCAUGUUGUGGGGUGGAAAGCCUUGUGCGGCUAGGGAUGGGCCCGCGGCCUAUCAGCUUGUUGGUGGGGUGAUGGCCUACCAAGGCGACGACGGGUAGCCGGCCUGAGAGGGCGACCGGCCACACUGGGACUGGGACACGGCCCAGACUCCUACGGGAGGCAGCAGUGGGGAAUCUUGCGCAAUGGGCGAAAGCCUGACGCAGCGACGCCGCGUGAGGGAUGACGGCC
rnacentral:rRNA from 1 species